GGACAAAGCACUCAUUACAACAUCUUUACUUUCUUUUACAAUGUAAAAAGAAAGUAAAGAUGUUGUAACAAGUGCUUUGUCA